AUUUUAAUAUUUCUCUAGUUAGGAAAAUCCAUAUUCCUUAUUGCCAAGGGGUCACAACAUGUUGUGGUCUUCUCCCUCCCUUAGCUUCUUGGCAUCUUGCUGCCCCUAUGUAAUAAAGUGCCAUUGUGAGUAAAGCUUCAGUUCAAGAUUGGAUCUAUGAGUUAUAGUAAUUCCAAUAAUCAUACUGUACUUUUUUGUAAAGUAUAUUUUUUAUUUCAUCCUAUUGCACUGAACUCACAUCUUAUGUUGCAGGCCCAUUUAGUUGUUUGCUUUGAGUGUUUAUAUGACUGUUGACAACUUCUGCAUUUGUAUUUAAUUAAAGUUGUUUCGCUUAGCUAAAGUCAUAUCUAUACUAAGUCUUAUAAAUGAGAUGUAUAUGGAAAAGGCUAUUGUGUUCAUGUUCCAGCUGUUGACAUGUGUCCAAUUUAUUAGUUUUUUGGGCAUUUUCGCAUCACACUUUCACCUCUGUUGGUUGCUCCACGUAUUAUUGCACGUGUCUUCUUCUGUAGUCUUCUCCUGUCUUGAAACCUGCUUUCAUCUCUUCCAUCUUCACCAACUUGCUUACUUCGUUUGGUUUCUUUCUUCUUUGUUUUUGUGGUUCGUGUUUUGCAUCCUCACUUGCAAUUUUUGCUUUUAUUUUCUGUUGAGUUUCCAGCUACUGAGGUUUUCCAUUUUGUGGUUUUGUUUUUGUUUCGUUCAUACUUGCAGAGAAAACCCAUCUUUUUCUUCUCCAGUUUUCUUCAGUUUGGUGGUAAUGCAAUGUGACCGCGAAGAAGGAUACAGCAGGAAAGGUUUUUUUUUUGCUUUGUUGUUAUGCAUGUUUGUUUCCUGUUGGAAGUAACACUGAUCUUGCCUAUUGAAUGUUCUUUUCCUAUUGAGAAAACCCAUCUCUUCCUUCUUCAGUUUUCUUCAGCUUGGUGAUUGUGCAAUGCGACGAUGAAGAAACAUCUAGCAAACAAGUUUUUUUUUUGCUUUGCUGUUAUGCAUGUUUGCUUCCUUUUGGUAGUAACACUGAUCUUGCAUAUUGAAUGUUCUUUUGCUAUUGAAUGCUCUUUUCUUCAUUAUUUUGUUGGUUUUGUUGCUCCAAGUUAAAGUAGUUUUCGCUGCUCCAUGGUUUUGCAACGUCACCCGCGAGGAAGUAUCCAGCAUACUGACAUUGACUCAUAUUUCUGCACAUCAGCAAAGGGCCGCACUCUUCCAUUUCAUCCCUCCCCUACAACGUAAACACCGCAAUCAUUGGGACUCUAGAGGGAGCAACCAUACCUCCAGAAGGUUUAGAAGGGUGCAAGCGAAACACAGAGACUGGAUUGUGCAGUAUGAUCCACCUGAUGAACCAAAUGAAUAUAUUCACAGGGUUGGUAGAAUAGCUCGUGGUGAAGGUGGGAAAGGAAAUGCUUUGCUUUUCCUGAUCCCUGAAGAAUUGCAAUUUCUUCGCUAUCUGAAGGUUGGUUUCCAAAGGAUCCCAAUAUAUUGGGCCGUGUUGGCCAUAUACUUUUACAAGCACCAUUUGUAAUGCAACGCAGUCCUCGGCAAAUAGUUAUAGCUGAUGAUUGUUUUCAGCAUAUAAAUGUUCCUCUUGACAGGAGUUCUCAAGUGGUGGUCAAAGCCACUGAGAAGCUUUUUGGAAGGCAAGUAUUGAAGCAUAUAAAUCUUGGGGAUUAUUUAAGUUCUAGAGUUCCAAGUUUGAAGGGGUGCUCUGGACAGAAACCAAACGACAAAGUGAAAGCUUCCUCAUUAAAAUUACUUGCCUACAUUAUGCAAUUCCUACAAAGGUUAGUCAGAUUCUUUGUAAUAUGGAAAUACUAUCAUAAUUUGCAAUUAUUGUUAACAUUGGUUUGGAAAGAAUACUGUGCUUUUCAAUCUAUCGGUUGUCUUUUCUUUGGAAUUAUUUUACAUACACAGCAACUUUGCUUUUGAUCUAACCACAGCUUAGCCAUGUCAUAAUUUCUGUUUUCAAAUAUUAUUCCUCAUUGUGGAUUUUCAUAAUUAUAUAGUGACUAUGAAAGUCUUCAAUUGUGCUGUCCCAACGGGCCAAAUAUGAUGUCUCUUCUCUAUUAUUAUUAUUAUUAUUAUUAUUAUUAUUAUUAUUUGUCUUUCUUUUCUACGAUUCCGCUUUUUUGCUGUGACUUUUUUCUGCAUCAUUUUUGUCUCGAACGUUUGUGGUGGAACACAUUUUUUUAGUAACACGGUUACUGAUAUUGGUUGUGAUAUGUGUAAUGUUCUUGAAAAAAUGAUCAUUUUUAUCUUUAGGGAUUGAGUUUUAUAGAUAAGUUUUGUGAAUAUGAAUAACUUUUUACUAUUUUAUGUGUUGCUGUUAAUUUUGAUAAUGUAUAUUAAUUUUGAAUGAUUAGUAUAUUUACAUGGUUUUAAAAAACUUAUGGUGAAUGGAACAUCAUUGGUAUUGAUGGGUAGAAACAACAUUUCUGAAAAUAUUCUUUCAUAAAAUUUGCUUUUUUACACGUGCACACACACACAUAGUCAUUAUUUCCCAAAAUAUUGUUGGUGUCAAAUCAAACAUUAUGUAAAGAUGAAUUGCAGUGAUUAUAUUGUGUGUUCUUUGUUGCAAAAGAAGACAAAUUUUGGCAAAAGAUAGUAGAUGAUGUUUUUAUAAGUCUGUUUUUAUAUUUAGUCUCUUCCAU